GGUGGUGCAGUGGGUAAAGCACUUGACUGCUAAACAAGGGGUCGAUGGUUCGAACCCACCAGCCACUA
rnacentral:tRNA from 1 species